GGUUGAUCAGCAGAGACGCAUUGGGUGGCAUCAUGGUGAAUUUGUGUCGGUAUUCCAAGUCGGGAACCACAGACUUGUUCACGGAGCCCACCCAGAGCAAGCACCUGCCAUGAGGGAGAAGAAAGCUGUGAGGACACUGAGCCACAUGUCACAACCUCAAGAGGCAAUACAGAGAGAACCUGCCUGGGUGGCAAUCCUUUACAAAGAAGAGAGGCUUCUAGGCACUGACCAUUCUGGUACCUGUUACCUGGGGAGGUGGAGCAAACAUUUCCAUGGUUUCAGUGUUUGAGUAGCUGUUAGCAGAGAGUAAGAUCCUGGGGCUGGCAGGGAAGUUAAGCAAAGAACUCAGGAGGAGAAAGCACAAAGAAGA